rnacentral:rRNA from 1 species
AGUGAACGCUGGCGGUAGGCCUAACACAUGCAAGUCGAACGGCAGCACAGGAGAGCUUGCUCUCUGGGUGGCGAGUGGCGGACGGGUGAGGAAUACAUCGGAAUCUACUCUGUCGUGGGGGAUAACGUAGGGAAACUUACGCUAAUACCGCAUACGACCUACGGGUGAAAGCAGGGGACCUUCGGGCCUUGCGCGAUUGAAUGAGCCGAUGUCGGAUUAGCUAGUUGGCGGGGUAAAGGCCCACCAAGGCGACGAUCCGUAGCUGGUCUGAGAGGAUGAUCAGCCACAAUGGAACUGAGACACGGGCCAGACUCCUACGGGAGGCAGCAGUGGGGAAUAUUGGACAAUGGGCGCAAGCCUGAUCCAGCCAUACCGCGUGGGUGAAGAAGGCCUUCGGGUUGUAAAGCCCUUUUGUUGGGAAAGAAAUCCAGCUGGCUAAUACCCGGUUGGGAUGACGGUACCCAAAGAAUAAGCACCGGCUAACUUCGUGCCAGCAGCCGCCGUAA